rnacentral:rRNA from 1 species
CCUACGGGUGGCAGUAGUGGGGAAUAUUGGGCAAUGGGCGCAAGCCUGACCCAGCAACGCCGCGUGAAGGAAGAAGGCUCUCGGGUUGUAAACUUCUUUUAUUAGGGACGUAGCAAGUGACGGUACCUGAUGAAUAAGCCACGGCUACCUACGUGCCAGCACCCGCGGUAAUACGUAGGUGGCAAGCGUUAUCCGGAUUUACUGGGUGUAAAGGGCGUGUAGGCGGGAAAGCGAGUCAGAUGUGAAAACCAUGGGCUCAACCUGUGGCCUGCAUUUGAAACUGUUUUUCUAGAGUACGGUAGAGGCAGACGGAAUGCCUAGUGUAGCGGUGAAAUGCGUAGAUAUUAGGAGGAACACCAGUGGCGAAGGCGGUCUGCUGGACAGCAACUGACGCUGAUGCGCGAAAGCGUGGGGAGCAAACAGGAUUAGAUACCCUUGUAGUC